GUGGGGAAUCUUGCGCAAUGGGCGAAAGCCUGACGCAGCCAUGCCGCGUGAAUGAUGAAGGUCUUAGGAUUGUAAAAUUCUUUCACCGGGGACGAUAAUGACGGUACCCGGAGAAGAAGCCCCGACUAACUUCGUGCCAGCAGCCGCGGUAAUACGAAGGGGGCUAGCGUUGCUCGGAAUUACUGGGCGUAAAGGGAGCGUAGGCGGACAUUUAAGUCAGGGGUGAAAUCCCGGGGCUCAACCUCGGAAUUGCCUUUGAUACUGGGUGUCUUGAGUGUGAGAGAGGUAUGUGGAACUCCGAGUGUAGAGGUGAAAUUCGUAGAUAUUCGGAAGAACACCAGUGGCGAAGGCGACAUACUGGCUCAUUACUGACGCUGAGGCUCGAAAGCGUGGGGAGCAAACAGGAUUAGAAACCCUAGUAGUCC
rnacentral:rRNA from 1 species